rnacentral:rRNA from 1 species
UACAGAGGGGGCAAGCGUUGUUCGGAAUUACUGGGCGUAAAGGGCGCGUAGGCGGCCCGCUAAGUCGAACGUGAAAUCCCCGAGCUCAACUCGGGAACUGCGUCCGAUACUGGCGGGCUUGAAUCCGGGAGAGGGAUGCGGAAUUCCAGGUGUAGCGGUGAAAUGCGUAGAGAUGUGGAGGAACACCGAUGGCGAAGGCAGCCUCCUGGGCCAGCACUGACGCUCAUGCACGAAAGCGUGGGGAGCAAACAGG